UACGUAGGGUGCAAGCGUUGUCCGGAAUUAUUGGGCGUAAAGAGCUCGUAGGCGGCUUGUCGCGUCUGCUGUGAAAACUCGGGGCUUAACCCCGGGCCUGCAGUGGGUACGGGCAGACUAGAGUGCGGUAGGGGAGACUGGAAUUCCUGGUGUAGCGGUGAAAUGCGCAGAUAUCAGGAGGAACACCGGUGGCGAAGGCGGGUCUCUGGGCCGUAACUGACGCUGAGGAGCGAAAGCGUGGGGAGCGAACAGG
rnacentral:rRNA from 1 species